AUACGUAGGGGGCGAGCGUUGUCCGGAAUGAUUGGGCGUAAAGGGCGCGUAGGCGGCCCGGUAAGUCUGGAGUGAAAGUCCUGUUUUUAAGAUGGGAAUUGCUUUGGAUACUGUCGGGCUUGAGUGCAAGAGAGGUAAGUGGAAUUCCCAGUGUAGCGGUGAAAUGCGUAGAGAUUGGGAGGAACACCAGUGGCGAAGGCGACUUACUGGACUGUAACUGACGCUGAGGCGCGAAAGUGUGGGGAGCAAACAGGAUUAGAUACCCUGGUAGUCCACACUGUAAACGAUGAAUGCUAGGUGUAGGGGGUAUCGACCCCUUCUGUGCCGCAGUCAACACAAUAAGCAUUCCGCCUGGGGAGUACGGCCGCAAGGUUGAAACUCAAAUGAAUUGGCGGGG
rnacentral:rRNA from 1 species